GGCGAACGGGUGAGUAACACGUGGGCAAUCUGCCCUUCACUCUGGGACAAGCCCUGGAAACGGGGUCUAAUACCGGAUAACACCUGCCCGGGCAUCCGGGUGGGUUAAAAGCUCCGGCGGUGAAGGAUGAGCCCGCGGCCUAUCAGCUUGUUGGUGAGGUAGUGGCUCACCAAGGCGACGACGGGUAGCCGGCCUGAGAGGGCGACCGGCCACACUGGGACUGAGACACGGCCCAGACUCCUACGGGAGGCAGCAGUGGGGAAUAUUGCACAAUGGGCGAAAGCCUGAUGCAGCGACGCCGCGUGAGGGAUGACGGCCUUCGGGUUGUAAACCUCUUUCAGCAGGGAAGAAGCGAAAGUGACGGUACCUGCAGAAGAAGCGCCGGCUAACUACGUGCCAGCAGCCGCGGUAAUACGUAGGGCGCAAGCGUUGUCCGGAAUUAUUGGGCGUAAAGAGCUCGUAGGCGGCUUGUCACGUCGGGUGUGAAAGCCCGGGGCUUAACCCCGGGUCUGCAUUCGAUACGGGCUAGCUAGAGUGUGGUAGGGGAGAUCGGAAUUCCUGGUGUAGCGGUGAAAUGCGCAGAUAUCAGGAGGAACACCGGUGGCGAAGGCGGAUCUCUGGGCCAUUACUGACGCUGAGGAGCGAAAGCGUGGGGAGCGAACAGGAUUAGAUACCCUGGUAGUCCACGCCGUAAACGGUGG
rnacentral:rRNA from 1 species